AAGACAUGGGGAUGCUAGGAAUCGCUUCACCUAGUAGGGAGUUAGUUCUGGCCAUAAUGAAUUCUUUUAAACAUGUGUUUGUUUAUUUGACACAUGGUUUCUCUGGGUAGACCAGGCUGGCCUCUAACUCAGAGAUCUGCCUGCCUCCGCCUCCCAAAUGCUGGGAUUAAGGACAGUUGCCACCACUGCCUGGUUGCUCUUUUAAACUUUUAAAACAGACUGCAACCAACAAGGUAAGAUUUACACUAGGCAGGGAAGAGAAACUACUGAAGCAUCCUGGAAAGUAACAAAGAGUCAAAGAAUUAUGACAUUUGGUGGUGCACGCUUUUAAUCCCAGCACUGCAGAGGAAGAGACAGGAGGAUCUCUGUAUGAGGCCAGCCUGAACUACAUAGCAAGAUCCUGACUCAAACACACAUCCUUCCCACCCAAGCCAGAAGGAUACUUGCAGUUUGGGAAGUCAGAAGCAGAAUCUCUUGAAUCUUUGGCAAUAUGCCUUCGAGCCUGCUAGAAGAGGCCCAGUUGGUACGGUAAUACUUAUUCACCAAGCUGGUCAUCGACGAGAGUGAGGAUAUCCUAGACGGAGCAAGAAUGGGCAGAGGCUGAAGAUCCUACUAUGAAGUUGACUUUUCAAGCAUAGAAAAUUCGGUCUACAUAGCCUCUUUUACAAGGCAACAUUUUUUUUAACCUUAAAAACAGAGGAAAAAUGAAAAGUGGACAAGCAAACUUUGGAGAUAAGAUGACCAGGCACCUACCUGGGUUUUGGAGUACACAGAACCCGAGAUAUCUGGCACGCCCGUGUUGCUGGAGGUGACUGAUACACCUAGGGGAGGAGGAAACACAGAGGAUUAGCUGUUAUCAGCCUCGUCUGUUCCUAGGACAGCGUGGUGUCUGCAGCCUUUCUAGCUAUGGCACUGCAAAGGAAUUCUGGUAUGUUUUUUUUCCACCUUUACAUCAGUUCUGAGAUGUCAGAAUUCAUGACACAAAUGAUGCCUAAAAGUUCUUCUGCUCUUUCUAGAUAUGUGUGGAAUACAUGUGUGAACUUCCUUCUGAGGGGCGCAAGGGGAUAUGAGCAAAACCUCAGUAGCAUAUGAUUUCAAAGCAAAAGGAUAUUAUAAUGUCCAUAGUGAAUCUGUCUAACCAAACUCCACUCAGUUCUGCUUUUUAAGACUUUUAAGACUGGCUCUUUCUAUUUUAUAAGAUACUUUGGGGCUCAAAAUCCUUAACACCACACUGUUAAAUAUUAGGAGCAGUCCGGUGCAGUCCCCAGAGUGCUUAUUCUCAGAGCCUCAGUUCACUCAGCCUCACUUCUCUGAUCAUAGGAAUUAUAUAAGGCUUAUAUCCUUGUGACUUAAAGGGCUGGCAUAAGAGGAAUUUCUGGUUCUAUAAUUUUAGUGGUGUAGGGAAUGGGGAAAUGUAGUGAGGGGUAGUCUUUCAGCCUAUAUGAAACAUACAAGUAAUGUCAUUUUCAGUACUUCAGUUUGUCCACAAAACAGCUUUAAUCCAUACCUAACUUAUGUUUCCUGUUGAAAAAUUCCCUACCACUACACUUUAAAGGAGCCUGUAGUAGUAUAAUCCAUUUUAAUUUGUUCUCAAGCUGAAAUAAACAUACUACUACACUUUUCCUUCCUGAGGGUAUUGGUCAAUGAAUCAAGAAGACAGGAAAAGCCAUGGGAUAAUCUAGCAUCUCACUAGAGACAUUUGAAACAAAAAUGUGAAAAAUAUGUUAACUAGGAAUUUAAUUCACAAUUAAAAAAGAAAAGACAUUAUUAGUUCCUGUAAAGAUAAAAAGGAAACCAAAAAAACUACAUUCCUGUCUCCAGAGGUAUUUUUUUAUUUGAAGAGCACUGAUUGAGCUUUGUUUUGCCUUUUUUUAAAAAACGAUGUAUUAAUAAUAAAAUCACAAGGAACCCUCCAUUCACUCUCAAUUCAACAGCAGUUUCCACACAAAUUCCAGAACUCAAAUUCUCCUAAGGCAGCCUUUAGGAGUUAAGUUUAUAAUCACUUUAGAAUCCUCCAGUAGAAUCGGUUUUAAGGGUUAAAGAGUCAGUCAGUGAUUAAGUGCUUUUCUAGCCAGCACAAAGACCAGGGUUUGAUCUCUAGUACCAAGGGGAAAAAAAAUUAACUGUUAAACUCUACCACAUCCUAAGUCCAGAUAGUGCCCUUCAAAAGGAACAAAUACAAUUCUAGGGGAAGAAAAAGCAGAACCACAGAAAUAAAGCAAGGGAAAAAAAUACUUCCCCAUCUCCAAAGCCUUAACUGUAACUGCAUACCUGGAAGGCACAGAGUAAACAAAGGGAACAAUAUAUCAAACUCUUCCAGAGGUAGCAGAGAUUUUUCUUCUCUUCAGAAUCCAGAUGCCUAUCUGACAAAACAGUGGGUAGCAGGCAUAACUUUAAGUUCAGUUACGAAAAGGACUAAAGCUAGUGAAGUUUGAGGGGGAAGGGAGAUGAGCCAGGAUACAGAAUAUUUUCAAGACAAAACCAAAGAGACAAUGAGUUAUCUUUAACAGAUCAGUGCAUACAGCUGACUUGGUUACCCUCUGCAAAGAGAAGUUAGGGUGCUUACACAGGGUAGGAGAAAUUACUAACUGGAUCCAAGCUGGGUGGUGAAGAGAAACUUAGUUCUAGCAAGCUCCUACCUUGUUUUAUUUUUACAUAGUAACAGUUUAGUUCAGGUUUUAAAUUGUACAGAAGAUAGAAAGAACUAGAAAUGCAAGGGGGAAAAAAAUAGAGAAUCCUGUAUAGUAGCUAUAAUAAACCUCUACGUAAGUAUUAGAAAACCUAAAAAAAAAAAAAAAAAAAAAAAUAGCAGGCUUUGAUUUCCCUAUUUUCACUAGUUAUUCCAGAGAUCCUCAGACUAAAAGUUUUGCUUUCCUUCCCACCCCACAUGUCCUGCCUACCCCACCUUCCCAACUGUGGUAAAAGUCAUUACAAAACAAUGUAGGUGGAAGGCAGAAGAACCAAGAACCCACUUCUCUUACUUAUCAUGGCAGCAACUUGAAAAAUAGGUUACAUUCUACAGGACCAGAGAGGGUGGGAACUACACAAGGAAAGCUGAAGAUCUGGUUUCCAAUUAACCAAAGGUAGUGACCUAAUUGUUCAAAUUUAUGCUAUAAACCAAUGGCCGAUGGGUGUACUUGUUAGUGAGUGCAAAUUUUCCACCAGGAUGUCUGACAAAAUCUCCCUCACAUAUCUUUGGCUACCUCCACAAGUAAAAAAUGACUAAUAAUUCACAAUCUCUGAAAAGCCAAAGGCCCAUGAACAGUGCUCCAGGCUAGCACAGUUUCCACAAAGCCUAAGUCCUCAACUGAGUGAUCACUAAUGACCUGAUCAGAUAUCAAUCAGCCAGUCAGCCUUUGAGAACCAGAUGUAGAAAUUAAGCCUUGGACGAUACUUCCCUAACAACAGCUUUGAACACCAUCUCUUUUUGCCUUUCACCAUGACUUGACACUAACUUCUUGUCCUUUUCCCUCAGCCCAAGUCAGAGGCAAGGGGAUAAUCUACAUGAAAAAGUAAAGACAUAAAAGCAUGGGAAAUCAGUUUUGUUGUUUUUAUUUAUAAUAGCUUUACCAACCAACCAAUAGGCUGGAAACAGGCUGUUUUCCCUCCCCCAGUUUAAAAAUGACUAUACUGAAACACUAACAGCU